CCCGAGGCCCCGGCCGGGCGGGGCGCGGGCGAUCCUGCCCCAGGGACUCCGGGGCCGGGUCGGAAUUCCGCCCGACGCGACGCCCGGGCGGCGCCCGCUGUGGUGGCGCUGCCCCGGGACGUGUGACUUUGGGGACAAGAACCGAAGUGAGGUACUGCCAGGGCCUCCGUACGUCCCUGGGCCGACCGACCCCUCGGACCUCGGGCACUCAGGUCCGGGCGGAGGGCUCCAGCCCUCUGUCCAUCCCUUCGUUCACAUAUUCAUUCAGCAAACAGGUUUGGAGUACCUACUGUGUGCCAAGCCUGUUGUGGGUGCUGGGUCACAGCUCCAGAGCUGACAUUCCGGAGGGAAAUACAGCGUAAGAAGAAUGCUCUUCCUCAUGUAUCUGCGUGCCUGAAAUAUCACCUUAGAGUCACCCGAUCUGACCACCGGAUCAGACCGCCCAUCAGCUCCAGAGCCCGAGGGGACAGGAUUUUUGUCUGCUCACCACGCGGGAAGAAUCGGAGUAGGCGCUCAAUAAGUAUUUGUUGAAUGGAUAAACAGUGAUAAAUGCUACGAAGAAAAGAAAGUACAUGGGGAGCGGCCAGGAGCUGAGGGCUAACUUAGGA